rnacentral:rRNA from 1 species
GGAAAUCUAGAGCUAAUACAUGUAGUUAAAUGGGUGGCGUCAAAACUAUCCAUAGCAUUUAUUAGAAUAAAACCGACUAUGGUGGGGGCGCAAUCUCCUGCCAUAAGGUGAAUCUAGAUAACUUUGCUGAUCGUAUGGCCUUGUGCCGGCGACAUUUCAAUUGAAUUUCUGCCCUAUCAACUUGUUGGUAAGGUAGUGGCUUACCAAGGUUACAACGGGUAACGGGGAAUCAGGGUUCGAUUCCGGAGAGGGAGCCUGAGAAAUGGCUACCACAUCCAAGGGAGGCAGCAGGCGCGCAAAUUACCCAAUCCAGAAACUGGGAGGUGGUGACGAGAAAUACUAGGUGGUUUCCUUUAUGGAUGCCAUACUGGAAUGGACGUAAUUCAAGUAAUUCGAUGAGUAACAACUGGAGGGCAAGUCUGGUGCCAGCAGCCGCGGUAAUUCCAGCUCCAGUAGUGUAUUUUAAAGUUGCUGCGUUUAAAACGCUCGUAGUUGGAUUACGCAGUGCAAGUUAGUAGAUUGGCAUCGCAGUUACAAAAAUCUAGCGAGCUUGUUAGUCUUUGCGGUUUACCCCAGAGGUUCGGCUUGUGAGCUAGAGUGCUGUGUGUUGAUUAACAGCUAGCUUGCACUACUUACGCGUGAGGAUGGUGGUUGAUCUUUAGUGCAUCGACCAUUGUGUCUCACGGAGUGUGCCUUGAAAAAAUCAGAGUGCUCAAAACAGGCUUUUGCUUGAAUGUUAAUAGCAUGGAACGAACAAUUGUGUAUUACGUGCUGUAGAGAGGGGUAUUUGUGGGCUUAUGUCUGCUUUUAUUUUCUUUCUAUGGUACAGCACCAACCACCAAUACCGGAUGUUGGUUUCCGUAUUGGGGUGAUGAUUAAAAGGAGCGGUUGGGGACACUAGUAUUUUGGCGCGAGAGGUGAAAUUCUUGGACCGCCAAAGGACUAACAAAUGCGAAAGCAUCUGUCAAGACCGUUUCCAUUAAUCAAGAACGAUAGUGAGAGGUUCGAAGACGAUCAGAUACCGUCCUAGUUCUCACUGUAAACCAUGCCGACCCGGGAUCAGCUUUGAGCUCUUUCAAAGGCUCGUGGUUGGUCCCCCUGGGAAACCUCAAGUUUUUAGGUUACGGGGGGAGUAUGGUCGCAAGGCUGAAACUUAAAGGAAUUGACGGAAGGGCACCACCAGGGGUGGAGCCUGCGGCUUAAUUUGACUCAACACGGGAAAACUCACCUGGUCAGGACAUCGAAAGGAUAGACAGACUGAUAGAUCUUUCUUGAUACGGUGGAUGGUGGUGCAUGGCCGUUCUUAGUUCGUGGAGUGAUCUGUCAGGUUGAUUCCGGUAACGAACGAGACCAUAAUCUCCAUUUAUGGGCCUGGAAAAGGCUGUGACGUAGGCGUUUGUAGGCAACUAUGGGCGUCGAAAUUGCAGUUGUAGGUUGGUUUCGUGUCCUUUGCUUAUUUCGCUACUGAGGGAUUAACCUCCUGAGGGAAACGGGAUGGGUGGAGAUUUCACUUAAUUUCCUUCCAGGUUGACAUUGUAGGAUGAAAGUCUUGCAUGUGCUAUGGAGAGACAACCAAAUAUACUUUUGAAAUUGGAGGAAGCGUUUGGCGAUAACAGGUCUGUGAUGCCCUUAGAUGUCCAGGGCCGCACGCGCGCUACAAUGAUAACAACAGCGAGUACCUGGGUCGAGAGACUUGGGUAAUCUUAUGAAUUGUUAUCGUGAUGGGGACUGAACAUUGUAAUUAUUGUUCACGAAAGAGGAAUCCCUAGUAAGUGCAUUUCAUUAGAAUGCGCUGAUUAAGUCCCUGCCCUUUGUACACACCGCCCGUCGCUACUACCGAGUGAAUCGUGUCAUGAUGCCUUGGGACUGGACGUCAUUUGGGUUUUCGGACUCGUAAUGAUGCUAGGAUCAAUGUAAAAUGG